UCAGGGAAGGCUUUAUUUAUUUUAUUUAUUUUGUUGCUGUUGCUGCUGCACGGCUUUUGAGACAGGUCUUGCCAUGCAUUCCAGGCCAUCCCGAAACUUACAAUCCUCCUGCUUCAACCUCCAGAGUGCUAGAUGACAGAUGUGUGCCAACAUGCCCGCUCUGAUGGUUUGAAUGAGAAUGUCCCUAUGGGGUCAUAUUAGAAUGCCUGGUCUCCAGUUAGUGGACCGUUUGGGGAAUGCUUAGGACCUGUAGAUCAGAUGUAAGCUCUCAGCUACUGCUCCAGCUCCAUGCCUGCCAGCCUGCUUCCAUGCUUCCUGCCAUGAUGGUUAUGGAUUCACCCUUUGAAACUGUGAAACUGUAUAACAACCCGGCCUCUACUCCCCUUGUUCUGAAGCACUCCAUUAUAAGAACUCCAGUCAUCGGUCUGGAGAGAUGACGUCUCAGUGAAGAGCCCUGGCUGCCACAUGAUGGCUCCUGACCACCUGUAACACCGAUUCCACAGGACCCAACGCCCUCUUCUUGGUCUCCACGGGCAGUGCAUGCACAUGGUACACAUACAUACAUGCAGAAAAACACUCAUACAUAUAAGAUAGAAAAUACAAAUCUUUUUUUUUUUUUUGGUUUUUCGAGACAGGGUUUCUCUGUGUAGCUUUGCGCCUUUCCUGGAUCUCUCGCGCUGUAGACCAGGCUGGCCUCGAACUCACAGAGAUCCGCCUGCCUCUGCCUCCCGAGUGCUGGGAUUAAAGGCAUGCGCCACCACCACCUGGCUGAAAAUACAAAUCUUAAAAAACAAACCCACUGAGCCAGGUGGUGGUGGCGGUGGCGCAUGCCUUUAAUCCCAGCACUCGGGAGGCAGAGCCAGGCGGAUCUCUGUGAGUUUGAGGCCAGCCUGGGCUACAGAGUGAGUUCCAGGAAAGGCUCCAAAGCUACACAGAGAAACCUUGUCUCAAAAAAACAAACAAGAAAGAAAGAAUGAAAGAAAGAAAGAAAGAAAGAAAGAAAGAAAGAAACCCCACUAAACUGACCCAACUGCCUGAAAUGCACCUGCUCAUCUCUUGACAUGUCAAUAUAAUAUAACCUGCAGAUCACAUUUCAUCUGCCCCAAGAAGCCCUUUCUUUGAGCCUGGUUAACCCCACAAAUCCUAGUGCUUACACAUAUGGUACUUAUUAUUACAGUAAGUGUCCCUAUGAGAUUCCUGAGGUCUGGAACCAUUAUUUACUUUCUGGGCCUCCUUAACAUAUAGCACAUAUCAAGUGAUUCAGAUAUUAAAUCGCUACAUGAACAUUC